rnacentral:rRNA from 1 species
GAUGAACGCUGGCGGCGUGCCUAAUACAUGCAAGUCGAGCGAACGGACGAGAAGCUUGCUUCUCUGAUGUUAGCGGCGGACGGGUGAGUAACACGUGGAUAACCUACCUAUAAGACUGGGAUAACUUCGGGAAACCGGAGCUAAUACCGGAUGAUAUUUUGAACCGCAUGGUUCAAAAGUGAAAGACGGUCUUGCUGUCACUUAUAGAUGGAUCCGCGCUGCAUUAGCUAGUUGGUAAGGUAACGGCUUACCAAGGCAACGAUGCAUAGCCGACCUGAGAGGGUGAUCGGCCACACUGGAACUGAGACACGGUCCAGACUCCUACGGGAGGCAGCAGUAGGGAAUCUUCCGCAAUGGGCGAAAGCCUGACGGAGCAACGCCGCGUGAGUGAUGAAGGUCUUCGGAUCGUAAAACUCUGUUAUUAGGGAAGAACAUAUGUGUAAGUAACUGUGCACAUCUUGACGGUACCUAAUCAGAAAGCCACGGCUAACUACGUGCCAGCAGCCGCGGUAAUACGUAGGUGGCAAGCGUUAUCCGGAAUUAUUGGGCGUAAAGCGCGCGUAGGCGGUUUUUUAAGUCUGAUGUGAAAGCCCACGGCUCAACCGUGGAGGGUCAUUGGAAACUGGAAAACUUGAGUGCAGAAGAGGAAAGUGGAAUUCCAUGUGUAGCGGUGAAAUGCGCAGAGAUAUGGAGGAACACCAGUGGCGAAGGCGACUUUCUGGUCUGUAACUGACGCUGAUGUGCGAAAGCGUGGGGAUCAAACAGGAUUAGAUACCCUGGUAGUCCACGCCGUAAACGAUGAGUGCUAAGUGUUAGGGGGUUUCCGCCCCUUAGUGCUGCAGCUAACGCAUUAAGCACUCCGCCUGGGGAGUACGACCGCAAGGUUGAAACUCAAAGGAAUUGACGGGGACCCGCACAAGCGGUGGAGCAUGUGGUUUAAUUCGAAGCAACGCGAAGAACCUUACCAAAUCUUGACAUCCUUUGACAACUCUAGAGAUAGAGCCUUCCCCUUCGGGGGGGACAAAGUGACAGGUGGUGCAUGGUUGUCGUCAGCUCGUGUCGUGAGAUGUUGGGUUAAGUCCCGCAACGAGCGCAACCCUUAAGCUUAGUUGCCAUCAUUAAGUUGGGCACUCUAAGUUGACUGCCGGUGACAAACCGGAGGAAGGUGGGGAUGACGUCAAAUCAUCAUGCCCCUUAUGAUUUGGGCUACACACGUGCUACAAUGGACAAUACAAAGGGCAGCGAAACCGCGAGGUCAAGCAAAUCCCAUAAAGUUGUUCUCAGUUCGGAUUGUAGUCUGCAACUCGACUACAUGAAGCUGGAAUCGUUAGUAAUCGUAGAUCAGCAUGCUACGGUGAAUACGUUCCCGGGUCU